UACAGAGGGGGCAAGCGUUGUUCGGAAUUACUGGGCGUAAAGGGCGCGUAGGCGGCCUACUAAGUCAGGGGUGAAAUCCUGGAGCUCAACUCCAGAACUGCCUUUGAUACUGGUUGGCUUGAGUCCGGGAGAGGUGAGUGGAACUGCGAGUGUAGAGGUGAAAUUCGUAGAUAUUCGCAAGAACACCAGUGGCGAAGGCGGCUCACUGGCCCGGUACUGACGCUGAGGUGCGAAAGCGUGGGGAGCAAACAGG
rnacentral:rRNA from 1 species